rnacentral:rRNA from 1 species
AGAGUUUGAUCCUGGCUCAGGAUGAACGCUGGCGGCGUGCCUAAUACAUGCAAGUCGAGCGAGAAAUUAAGAAGAUGCGUUUUCGGACAAGUCAUCUUAAUGGAAAGCGGCGGACGGGUGAGUAACGCGUAGGCAACCUGCCCUUAGCAGAGGGAUAGCCAUUGGAAACGAUGAUUAAAACCUCAUAAUGCCGGUUUUACACAUGUUGAACCGGCCAAAGAUUUAUCGGCUAAGGAUGGGCCUGCGUCUGAUUAACUAGUUGGUGAGGUAACGGCUCACCAAGGUGACGAUCAGUAGCCGACCUGAGAGGGUGAUCGGCCACAUUGGAACUGAGACACGGUCCAAACUUCUACGGAAGGCAGCAGUAAGGAAUCUUGCACAAUGGGGGAAACCCUGAUGCAGCAACGCCGCGUGAACGAUGAAGGCCUUCGGGUUGUAAAGUUCUGAUCUUGGGGAAGAAGAAAGUGACGGUACCUCAGGAGAAAGCCCCGGCUAAAUACGUGCCAGCAGCCGCGGUAAUACGUAUGGGGCAAGCGUUAUCCGGAAUUAUUGGGCGUAAAGAGUGCGUAGGUGGUUACCUAAGCGCAAGGUUUAAUCUUGAGGCUCAACCUCAUUCUGCCUUGCGAACUGGGCUACUUGAGUGCAGGAGGGGAAAGCGGAAUUCCCAGUGUAGCGGUGAAAUGCGUAGAUAUUGGGAAGAACACCGGUGGCGAAGGCGGCUUUCUGGACUGUAACUGACACUGAGGGCACGAAAGCGUGGGGAGCAAACAGGAUUAGAUACCCUGGUAGUCCACGCCGUAAACGAUGAGCACUAGUUGUUGGGUACGAAUGUAUUCAGUGACGCAGUUAACGCAAUAAGUGCUCCGCCUGGGGAGUACGGUGGCAACACUAAAACUCAAAGGAAUUGACGGGGACCCGCACAAGCAGCGGAGCAUGUGGUUUAAUUCGAAGCAACGCGAAAAACCUUACCAGGGCUUGACAUCCCUCUGACCGGAUCUUAACCGAUCCUUUCUUCGGACAGAGGUGACAGGUGGUGCAUGGUUGUCGUCAGCUCGUGUCGUGAGAUGUUGGGUUAAGUCCCGCAACGAGCGCAACCCUUGUGGUCAGUUACUAACAUUAAGUUGAGGACUCUGACGAGACUGCCGAGGUCAACUCGGAGGAAGGUGGGGAUGACGUCAAAUCAUCAUGCCCCUUAUGCUCUGGGCUACACACGUGCUACAAUGGCCGGUACAAUGAGAAGCAAAAUGGCGACAUGGAGCAAAUCACCAAAACCGGUCCCAGUUCGGAUUGCAGGCUGCAACUCGCCUGCAUGAAGUCGGAGUUGCUAGUAAUCGCGAAUCAGCAUGUCGCGGUGAAUGCGUUCCCGGGUCUUGUACACACCGCCCGUCACACCAUGGAAGUUGGGGGCGCCCAAAGUUGGCUAAUCAAUCUGCUACCUAAGGCGAAACCAAUGACUGGGGUGAAGUCGUAACAAGGUAACCGUA